UACGUAGGGUGCAGGCGUUAAUCGGAAUUACUGGGCGUAAAGCGUGCGCAGGCGGUUUCUUAAGUCAGAUGUGAAAGCCCCAAGCUUAACUUGGGAACUGCCAUUGAUACUGAUGGUCUUGAGUACACUUGAGGUGGGCGGAAUGUGUCAUGUAGCGGUGAAAUGCUUAGAUAUGACACAGAACACCGAUUGCGAAGGCAGCUCACUAAAUUGUAACUGACGCUGAGGCACGAAAGCGUGGGGAUCAAACAGG
rnacentral:rRNA from 1 species